UACGUAGGGGGCAAGCGUUGUCCGGAAUUAUUGGGCGUAAAGAGCUCGUAGGCGGUGUGUCGCGUCGGAUGUGAAAGCCCGGGGCUUAACCCCGGGUCUGCAUUCGAUACGGGCUAGCUAGAGUGUGGUAGGGGAGAUCGGAAUUCCUGGUGUAGCGGUGAAAUGCGCAGAUAUCAGGAGGAACACCGGUGGCGAAGGCGGGUCUCUGGGCAACUACUGACGCUGAGGAGCGAAAGCGUGGGGAGCGAACAGG
rnacentral:rRNA from 1 species